UCAUCACGAAAAUAUUGCUGUCACUGUGCAGAAUGUCUUUUGGUUCUGCCUUCUUCACUUUGCAUCAGUUUGGCACUGUGCAAAGCUGCCCAUACAAAUCUCUCAAUAAGGAAAAAAUAUAUGAAGCACAUUCUCUAUGGUAGACACUGUUUUAAGUACUUAAAAAUAUAUCAUUUUAUCCUUACAACAACCCUUUGAGGUAGGUGCUAUUAUUAUUUCUACUUUACAAUUGUGGAAACUGAGGCAUAUGGCAGCUAAGUGAUUUGUUCCGGUCAUACAGCAAGUAAAUACUUAAGACUACAUUUGAAUUCACAUCUUCCUAACACCAGGCCUAACAUUCUUAUCUAGACACUUAACUACCCACAGGAUAAUUGGCAUGAAAUAUAAAAUUCAAGACUUAGUGGCUGAGCACCUCAUUUUGCCUCUCCUAGAUGAACCAAAAUUAUAAUCCAGGUUGUGCAUAACCCAUGUUUUCUAUACCUCACCUUGUCCUCUCUCCACUAUUUGGACUUCCUUGUUCCCUUAACCUGUGCCUUUGAGAAGGACAAAAAUGAUAUCAAGAUCAACAUAUACAGUAAAUUAUUUAACUUGAAAAGGUUACAAUAUAAGAAUAAAGUGGAGGGAGAGUUGGUUCUUGACUUUUUUAUUUGCAGGUGAUUGUGUACUCAUUGCAGCCCCUAAGUCUGAGAUACAAAAGAUAACGAAUCAUUUCUCUGAUGCCCAUUUUAAUUUUGGCCUGAUAAUUAACACCAAGAAAAUAGAGGUUUUCCACCAAUUGACAUUGGCACUAUUGAUGACAGUAAACGUAGAACUUUUGAAUGCUGUGGAUGAAUUAAUUUACCUUGGCAGUAAACUUUCCUGAUGAGAUUGAUGUACACAUUGCUAGGAGGUUCCCAAGAAGAGUAUGAGAGAGAAGUAUUAAGCUUCCUACCAAACCCAAGAUUUACAGAGCCAUUGUGUCCACUUCAUUGUUUUAUGCCCAUGAACCCUGUACAGUACACCAGUGCCAUGCCAGAAAAUUGAACUAUUUCCAUUUGAAUUGUUUUAGGAAGAUUUUGAAGAUUACUUGGCAAGAUAAGGUAUUGGAUACUGAUGCUCCCUCUCUCUCUUUUUUAGCUGAAAUGCAAAUUAUUCAAUCUCUACUGCAGAGAAUGCAAUUCCAGUGGUCUGGACACAUUGUUCAAAUGCCAAACAUUAGUUUGCCUAAAAGACUAUUUUAUAAAAAACUCACACAAGGUAAGGAGGAUCCCAUGAAGGAAACAAUAUGAUGAACAGAGGGAGGGGACCCCUGUCCCAGGGCAACUCGGGUCGAUGGGAUCCAGAACACAUCACACCUUGGUGGAGGAAGGUAGGGUCCAGUGAGUAGCCUCUGGAGGUGUUGAAUGAAUGUGUGGAGAAUGUUGUGUGAGACUGUGGGGGUAAGGUCUCCUGAGUCAUUGACAUAUGGCUAAGUGGCUGACCACUGGUCCCUGACUUGGGGGUUAUUCGGGAUGGCCUAUUGCCAAGUUGGACUAAUCCGGGAGAACUGCUCACCUAUUUCUGAGUGUGGACCAGGAAAGUAUACAGUUCCUAUUUCCUGUGAGGGGAUAGGUCAGAAAUCCUGGAAAGCAUGUGGAUGAAGACUGUGACACCACUCUUAGCUAACUUCACUUAAGGAUACCUGACUCCCUCUCCCUUGGAUGGACCGUGGAAGGAUUGGUUGGACUCGACUCCCUUAAGAAGAGUAUUCUGGCCAGUUGAUUUUAGUCAACUUUAUUUGUGGGGUUAGAGUCCCCUCUGCAGGGGUUAGAGGCCCUUUACUGGGGUUCAAGUCCCUGGUUCAGGGUGGUUAGAGGCCCCCUGUUGGAAGUAGGAAACCCAGUGGAUGCACUGGAGGAAGGGGGUGCAGCCCCAGGGAAACCCAGCCACAACACUUUGUUUUUGAGACCACUCACCCCUAGACCCUUGGGGUGAAUAGAGGAACACAUCCAGCCCAACAUUCAUAUUUGUUGUGUCUGUCUUGACUGUCCAGUUCCUCACAUAUUGUCCUGUAUGCUUUUGUGUUCGGAAAAAUGGUCUCUAAAUAGCUUGAAAAAA
rnacentral:lncRNA from 1 species